rnacentral:lncRNA from 1 species
GCAUUUUAUAGCUCCUUCUUCUAAAGAGCUGCUUAGUGUCUCUGUGCGCCACAUCUGCAGGUGCUCACAGUGUACUCAGCCAGGUCCUUCUGGGACAACCAGCUGGAGGCUCUGUUUAGGGAGGAAGACAGCAUUGUCAGAGGGGUUUUGCAAGAAGAGCUGCCCGUGUCACUGUACUCUACCUUCUAGAGCGCAUGGCAGCAUGUACUCCUUUCCUUCCAGCAGGAGGGACAGCAUUUUGUGCUCAUCUACUCUGAAUGGUCUGGAUGGAGGGUAUCGGUGAGGGAAGGAGGGGAUAGUUAACAAGCAUCACCAGCCACGUCUGCUGCAAGGGCAGAGGAAAGGGAGUCAAAGGGACAAACAGUUCAGAGAUGGUGAUGGUGAGUAUAUUUUAUGUUUGACAGAGCUUUUUUAGCAUAUGAGGACAGAAAUGAGACUGAAAAUUAAAGGUGAAAUGAUUUCCAUUUACUUCGG